rnacentral:lncRNA from 1 species
AUCAGAGGGCCAUUAGACUGAGGCUCGUGCAUGAGGGGAUAGCAUGCUUUUACUUUCACUCUCUUUGUAAUAAAAAACGAUUUCCCGGUCGGAAUAUUAUCGCUUUUUUACGAGAAAAAUUGCAUAAAAAUUGAUUUUAAACAGCGGUUGACAUGCUUCGAAGUACGGUAAUGGAAUAUUUAGAAUUUUUUUGUCACGAAAUGCGCCAUGCUCGUCACCCUUAUUUACCCUUUCGGAUAGUGUCUUGAACGCACGAACAAAAUGCCGCUAUUUGGAUAUAACAAUGGAUUAUUUGGGACCAAACCAACAUUUGUUAUUGAAGUAGAAGUCCUGGGAGUGCAUUCUGACGAAGAACAGCAAAGGACAAGACAGCACUAACCAACUUCUCCAAUCUCGUCUCAUUGAUUGGACUCCAGACCUAUCUGCUGCCUUUGAUACUGUGAACCACCAGAUCCUCCUCUCCACCCUCUCCGAGUUGGGUAUCUUCGGCGCUGCUCACUCUUGGAUUGCGUCCUACCUGACAGGUCGCUCCUACCAG